GUGACGGUAGCUCAGUUGGUUAGAGUGUGGUGCUGAUAACGCCAAGGUUGCAGGUUCGAUCCCCGUUUGGGACCGCUGCA